UUGGUGACCAGCGGAGGGAUCAUUACCGAGUUUACAACUCCCAAACCCAAUGUGAACGUUACCAAACUGUUGCCUCGGCGGGAUCUCUGCCCCGGGUGCGUCGCAGCCCCGGACCAAGGCGCCCGCCGGAGGACCAACCAAAACUCUUUUUGUAUACCCCCUCGCGGGUUUUUUUUAUAAUCUGAGCCUUCUCGGCGCCUCUCGUAGGCGUUUCGAAAAUGAAUCAAAACUUUCAACAACGGAUCUCUUGGUUCUGGCAUCGAUGAAGAACGCAGCGAAAUGCGAUAAGUAAUGUGAAUUGCAGAAUUCAGUGAAUCAUCGAAUCUUUGAACGCACAUUGCGCCCGCCAGUAUUCUGGCGGGCAUGCCUGUCCGAGCGUCAUUUCAACCCUCGAACCCCUCCGGGGGGUCGGCGUUGGGGAUCGGCCCUCCCUUAGCGGGUGGCCGUCUCCGAAAUACAGUGGCGGUCUCGCCGCAGCCUCUCCUGCGCAGUAGUUUGCACACUCGCAUCGGGAGCGCGGCGCGUCCACAGCCGUUAAACACCCAACUUCUGAAAUGUUGACCUCGGAUCAGGUAGGAAUACCCGCUGAACUUAAGCAUAUCAA
rnacentral:rRNA from 1 species